CCUACGGGAGGCAGCAGUAAGGAAUAUUGGACAAUGGUGGCAACACUGAUCCAGCCAUGCCGCGUGCAGGAUGAAUGCCCUAUGGGUUGUAAACUGCUUUUAUACGGGAAAAAACCCCACUACGUGUAGUGGGCUGAUGGUACCGUAAGAAUAAGGAUCGGCUAACUUCGUGCCAGCAGCCGCGGUAAUACGAAGGAUUCGAGCGUUAUCCGGAUUUAUUGGGUUUAAAGGGUGCGUAGGUGGACUAAUAAGUCAGUGGUGAAAGCCCGCAGCUUAACUGCGGAACUGCCAUUGAUACUGUUAGUCUUGAGUACAGUUGAGGUGGGCGGAAUGUGUCAUGUAGCGGUGAAAUGCUUAGAUAUGACACAGAACACCGAUUGCGAAGGCAGCUCACUAAGCUGUAACUGACACUGAGGCACGAAAGUGUGGGUAGCAAACAGGAUUAGAUACCCUGGUAGUCCACACCCUAAACGAUGAUAACUCGUUGUUGGCGAUACACAGUCAGCGACUAAGCGAAAGCAUUAAGUUAUCCACCUGGGGAGUACGGUCGCAAGACUGAAACUCAAAGGAAUUGACGG
rnacentral:rRNA from 1 species